GCCGCCCGGGAUGAGCUAAUAAUGGAAGCAAUUUGUAACUUUCAGUAGCUCUCUAGGCCUGGGUACCGGAGGGAGGGAGGCGGGCAGAGGAGGGGAGAUGGGCACCCCCAGUCUUUCCAUCCUCCUCAUUCGUCUAGGGGCACCCGAAUCCACUAUUCCUUAUUUCCCCUAUCACUCAGGCACUGGCAGGGUCCUUUGCUACUCCUGUUGGCCGCCGCGGCUCCAAAGCGAGCUGGGCAGAUGUGCCUGAGACAGGUUUGACCAGGCAACUGAAAAGACAUCCCUAAGGGAAGACAAAGCAAAGGUAUGAAAGGAACACAUGUCCCUGACUGACUAGGAGGAACAGAGCUGCCUGCUGUCUGGAACCGCUUCCUCCCAGACUAAGUGAGAAAUAAACUUCUGUUUUCUA
rnacentral:lncRNA from 1 species